rnacentral:tRNA from 1 species
GUCUUCGUGGUGUAGUGGUCAGCACGCUUGACGCGUAACCGAGAGGUCCGUGGUUCGAUUCCUGGCGAAGGCA